rnacentral:rRNA from 1 species
UGCCAGCAGCCGCGGUAAUACGUAGGUGGCUAGCGUUAUUCGGAUUUAUUGGGCGUAAAGGGUCCGUAGGGGGUUUGGCAAGUCUGAUGUGAAAUACCGAGGCUCAACUUCGGAAUUGCAUUGGAAACUGUCAAGCUAGAGCAUAGGAGAGGAGAGUGGAAUUCCUGGUGUAGCGGUGGAAUGCGUAGAUAUCAGGAGGAACACCAAAGGCGAAGGCAGCUCUCUGGACUAUUGCUGACCCUGAGGGACGAAAGCUAGGGGAGCGAACAGGAUUAGAUA